AGUGAACGCUGGCGGUAGGCCUAACACAUGCAAGUCGAACGGCAGCACAGUAAGAGCUUGCUCUUACGGGUGGCGAGUGGCGGACGGGUGAGGAAUACAUCGGAAUCUACUUUUUCGUGGGGGAUAGCGUAGGGAAACUUACGCUAAUACCGCAUACGACCUACGGGUGAAAGCAGGGGAUCUUCGGACCUUGCGCGAUUGAAUGAGCCGAUGUCGGAUUAGCUAGUUGGCGGGGUAAAGGCCCACCAAGGCGACGAUCCGUAGCUGGUCUGAGAGGAUGAUCAGCCACACUGGAACCGAGACACGGUCCAGACUCCUACGGGAGGCAGCAGUGGGGAAUAUUGGACAAUGGGCGCAAGCCUGAUCCAGCCAUACCGCGUGGGUGAAGAAGGCCUUCGGGUUGUAAAGCCCUUUUGUUGGGAAAGAAAAGCAGCAGGUUAAUACCCCGCUGUUCUGACGGUACCCAAAGAAUAAGCACCGGCUAACUUCGUG
rnacentral:rRNA from 1 species